rnacentral:rRNA from 1 species
UGGGGAAUAUUGCACAAUGGGCGCAAGCCUGAUGCAGCCAUGCCGCGUGUGUGAAGAAGGCCUUCGGGUUGUAAAGCACUUUCAGCGGGGAGGAAGGCGAUAAGGUUAAUAACCUUGUCGAUUGACGUAACCCGCAGAAGAAGCACCGGCUAACUCCGUGCCAGCAGCCGCGGUAAUACGGAGGGUGCAAGCGUUAAUCGGAAUUACUGGGCGUAAAGCGCACGCAGGCGGUCUGUCAAGUCGGAUGUGAAAUCCCCGGGCUUAACCUGGGAACUGCAUUCGAAACUGGCAGGCUAGAGUCUGGUAGAGGGGGGUAGAAUUCCAGGUGUAGCGGUGAAAUGCGUAGAGAUCUGGAGGAAUACCGGUGGCGAAGGCGGCCCCCUGGACAAAGACUGACGCUCAGGUGCGAAAGCGUGGGGAGCAAACAGG